AGUAUAGCAAUCUAUACGGUGAAACUGCGAAUGGCUCAUUAAAUCAGUUAUCGUUUAUUUGAUAGUACCUUACUACUUGGAUAACCGUGGUAAUUCUAGAGCUAAUACAUGCUAAAAACCCCGACUUCGGAAGGGGUGUAUUUAUUAGAUAAAAAACCAAUGCCCUUCGGGGCUCCUUGGUGAUUCAUAAUAACUUAACGAAUCGCAUGGCCUUGUGCCGGCGAUGGUUCAUUCAAAUUUCUGCCCUAUCAACUUUCGAUUGUAAGGUAUUGGCUUACAAUGGUUUCAACGGGUAACGGGGAAUUAGGGUUCGAAGUAGAAGCCCAAGGCCUAACAGCCUAGUCCUUUUUUGGGGGCAACACGCCUGGAUGUCGGGGAAGUCUUGAGGCCUGCAGUACCACACACUGGGUGACACCCAGUGCCUUUCGGGGGGUAACAACCUGCAGGAUUAGGCGACCCGCAGCCGAAGUUGGCUACCUCUCAGCAGGGUCAACCGGUUCAACGCUCGGUAAGGCGUGGGCUCUCUAGAGCUUAAGGUACGAGCUACGCCCGCUGGAAACAGCGUCCUGUUUAGCGGUGCGCCGCGAUGCAGGGGAACGCCAGAGUGAUUAUAGAUCUGGUGGGUAGUACGGUCUAUUCCGGAGAAGGAGCCUGAGAAACGGCUACUACAUCCAAGGAAGGCAGCAGGCGCGCAAAUUACCCAAUCCCGACACGGGGAGGUAGUGACAAUAAAUACUGAUACAGGGCUCUUUUGGGUCUUGUAAUUGGAAUGAGUACAAUUUAAAUCCCUUAACGAGGAACAAUUGGAGGGCAAGUCUGGUGGAUGUCAAUCCUGGGGGGCUCCGGCUCCCCUGCUGGCGCCAGAAAUAGUUUGGUAGUGAUCAUUCUAGUCGCUGUACAGCACGCUUUGGGCGUACAGCGGCAAGACAACCUUGAUCGGGGGAGGCUGUAGUUGUAGUACUAUGCUAACCCCGAGCCGAGUCCCUAGCAAUAGGGGCCGGUCUAGAGCACGCCAAGGUGUCGGCGCCCUCACUGGGGGUGCUUAAGGUACGUGCCGUCCCUCGCGAAAGCCUGUCUAUGCGGGAGUUCCCAGAGAACAACUGUAUAGAGGUAUGAUCUUCGGGUCUACUGGACACUAAACGGCCAGCAGCCGCGGUAAUUCCAGCUCCAAUAGCGUAUAUUAAAGUUGUUGCAGUUAAAAAGCUCGUAGUUGAACCUUGGGCCUGGUUGGCCGGUCCGCCUCACCGCGUGCACUGGUCCGACCGGGUCUUUCCUUCUGGGGAGCCGCAUGCCCUUCACUGGGUGUGUCGGGGAACCAGGACUUUUACUUUGAAAAAAUUAGAGUGUUCAAAGCAGGCCUAUGCUCGAAUACAUUAGCAUGGAAUAAUAGAAUAGGACGUGUGGUUCUAUUUUGUUGGUUUCUAGGACCGCCGUAAUGAUUAAUAGGGAUAGUCGGGGGCGUCAGUAUUCAAUUGUCAGAGGUGAAAUUCUUGGAUUUAUUGAAGACUAACUACUGCGAAAGCAUUCGCCAAGGAUGUUUUCAUUAAUCAGUGAACGAAAGUUAGGGGAUCGAAGACGAUCAGAUACCGUCGUAGUCUUAACCAUAAACUAUGCCGACUAGGGAUCGGGCGAUGUUAUCUUUUUGACUCGCUCGGCACCUUACGAGAAAUCAAAGUCUUUGGGUUCUGGGGGGAGUAUGGUCGCAAGGCUGAAACUUAAA
rnacentral:rRNA from 1 species